CGUUCCGGAGAAUCCGCAGAAUCUCUGCGGUGCCGAAGGUGCAACAGCGGCUCACCCCGCUGAAAUCUCUCAGGCAAAAGGACGGAAAA
rnacentral:ncRNA from 1 species